UACGGAGGGGGCUAGCGUUGUUCGGAAUUACUGGGCGUAAAGCGCACGUAGGCGGCUUUGCAAGUUAGAGGUGAAAGCCCGGGGCUCAACUCCGGAAUUGCCUUUAAAACUGCAUCGCUAGAAUUGUGGAGAGGUAAGUGGAAUUCCGGAGUGUAGAGGUGAAAUUCGUAGAUAUCGGGAGGAACACCAGUGGCGAAGGCGGCUCUCUGGGCAGAUACCGACGCUGAGACGCGAAAGCGUGGGAAGCAAACAGG
rnacentral:rRNA from 1 species